GACGAACGCUGGCGGCGUGCUUAACACAUGCAAGUCGAGCGGUAAGGCCCUUUCGGGGGUACGACGAGCGGCGAACGGGUGAGUAACACGUGGGUGACCUGCCCUCAGCUCUGGGAUAAGCCUGGGAAACCGGGUCUAAUACUGGAUAUGACUCCAUGACGCAUGUUGUGGGGUGGAAAGCCUUGUGCGGCUGAGGAUGGGGCCCGCGGCCUAUCAGCUUGUUGGUGGGGUGAGGCCUACCAAGGCGACGACGGGUAGCCGGCCUGAGAGGGCGACCGGCCACACUGGGACUGAGACACGGCCCAGACUCCUACGGGAGGCAGCAGUGGGGAAUCUUGCGCAAUGGGCGAAAGCCUGACGCAGCGACGCCGCGUGAGGGAUGACGGCCUCG
rnacentral:rRNA from 1 species